rnacentral:rRNA from 1 species
GAUGAACGCUGGCGGCGUGCCUAAUACAUGCAAGUCGAGCGAACAGACGAGGAGCUUGCUCCUCUGACGUUAGCGGCGGACGGGUGAGUAACACGUGGAUAACCUACCUAUAAGACUGGGAUAACUUCGGGAAACCGGAGCUAAUACCGGAUAAUAUAUUGAACCGCAUGGUUCAAUAGUGAAAGACGGUUUUGCUGUCACUUAUAGAUGGAUCCGCGCCGCAUUAGCUAGUUGGUAAGGUAACGGCUUACCAAGGCAACGAUGCGUAGCCGACCUGAGAGGGUGAUCGGCCACACUGGAACUGAGACACGGUCCAUACUCCUACGGGAGGCAGCAGUAGGGAAACUUCCGCAAUGGGCGAAAGCCUGACGGAGCAACGCCGCGUGAGUGAUGAAGGUCUUCGGAUCGUAAAACUCUGUUAUUAGGGAAGAACAAAUGUGUAAGUAACUAUGCACGUCUUGACGGUACCUAAUCAGAAAGCCACGGCUAACUACGUG